ACUGCUCAGUAACACGUGGAUAACCUGCCCCAAGGGGUCCGGGAUAACCCCGGGAAAACUGGGGAUAAUACCGGAUGGAUCACUAGUGCUGGGAAUGCUUGGUGGUCGAAAGGUGACGCCCUUGGAUGGGUCUGCGGCGGAUUAGGUUGACGCCGGUGUAACGUACCGGCGUGCCUGUAAUCCGUACGGGUUGUGGGAGCAAGAGCCCGGAGAUGGAUUCUGAGACACGAAUCCAGGCCCUACGGGGCGCAGCAGGCGCGAAAACUCUACAAUGCAGGCAACUGCGAUAGGGGGACAUCGAGUGGCAUCCACCUUGGGUGCCUGUCCAACCGUCUAAAAAACGGUUGUUAGCAAGGGCCGGGUAAGACCGGUGCCAGCCGCCGCGGUAAUACCGGCGGCUCGAGUGGUGGCCGAUAUUAUUGAGUCUAAAGGGUCCGUAGCCGGCUUUGCAAGUCCCCUGGGAAAUCCAGCGGCUUAACCGUUGGGCUUUCAUGGGAUACUACAUUGCUUGGGACUGGGAGAGGUAGGAGGUACUCGGGGGGUAGGGGUGAAAUCCUGUAAUCCUCCGGGGACCACCGGUGGCGAAGGCGUCCUACCAGAACAGGUCCGACGGUGAGGGACGAAAGCUAGGGGCACGAACCGGAUUAGAUACCCGGGUAGUCCUAGCCGUAAACGAUGCCCGCUAGGUGUCACGACGGUCGUGAAUCGUCGUGGUGCCGUAGGGAAGCCGCGAAGCGGGCCACUUGGGAAGUACGACCGCAAGGUUGAAACUUAAAGGAAUUGGCGGGGGAGCAC
rnacentral:rRNA from 1 species